rnacentral:sRNA from 1 species
GGCAAGCUGCGCCGCGCCUUCGGGUUGCUUCCGGAUCUGAUACUUGGGCAGAGCUCCCCGGGGUUCAUUGUCUUCGCUUCACAGGAUCUGUUUUGAGUCCUGUCCACCGGAUCCUACGGGGGGUACCUUCGAAAAAAAACGGGCUAUGCUGCUGUUGCGUGGACAAUUGAUAAAACAAAGAAUAAUAAGCAGGUUCUUGAUAAAUUGCAAGUGGAACGAGAAAGAGGAAUCACUGUUAAAGCACAGACAGCAUCUCUCUUUUACAAUUGUGAAGGAAAGCAGUACCUUUUAAAUCUCAUUGAUACACCGGGCCAUGUUGAUUUUAGUUAUGAAGUAUCCAGGUCACUUUCUGCUUGCCAGGGUGUUUUACUUGUGGUUGAUGCAAAUGAGGGAAUUCAAGCCCAAACUGUAGCAAACUUCUUUCUUGCCUUCGAAGCACAGCUAUCGGUAAUUCCAGUUAUAAAUAAGAUAGAUCUGAAGAAUGCUGAUCCUGAAAGGGUUGAAAACCAAAUUGAGAAAGUGUUUGAUAUUCCAAGUGAUGAAUGUAUUAAGAUUUCUGCUAAACUUGGAACAAAUGUUGAGAGUGUUCUUCAGGCAAUUAUUGAAAGAAUCCCCCCUCCUAAAGUGCAUCGCAAAAAUCCCCUGAGAGCUUUGGUAUUUGACUCCACCUUUGACCAGUAUAGAGGUGUGAUAGCCAAUGUAGCAUUAUUUGACGGAGUGGUUUCCAAAGGAGAUAAAAUUGUAUCUGCACAUACUCAAAAGACAUAUGAAGUUAAUGAAGUAGGAGUUUUGAAUCCUAAUGAGCAGCCAACUCAUAAAUUAUAUGCAGGACAGGUGGGCUAUCUGAUUGCUGGGAUGAAAGAUGUCACUGAAGCGCAAAUAGGAGAUACAUUAUGUUUACAUAAGCAACCAGUGGAGCCCUUGCCUGGGUUUAAAUCAGCGAAACCAAUGGUAUUUGCAGGAAUGUAUCCUCUAGACCAAUCUGAAUAUAACAAUCUGAAGAGUGCUAUAGAAAAACUGACUUUAAAUGAUUCCAGUGUGACCGUUCAUCGGGAUAGUAGCCUUGCUCUGGGUGCUGGCUGGAGGCUAGGAUUUCUUGGACUUUUGCACAUGGAAGUUUUCAACCAGCGACUGGAGCAAGAAUAUAAUGCUUCUGUUAUUUUAACAACCCCUACUGUUCCAUAUAAAGCUGUACUGUCAUCAUCAAAAUUGAUAAAGGAACAUAGAGAAAAAGAAAUUACAAUUAUCAAUCCUGCACAAUUCCCCGAUAAAUCAAAAGUAACAGAAUAUUUGGAGCCAGUUGUUUUGGGCACUAUUAUCACACCAGAUGAAUACACUGGAAAAAUAAUGAUGCUUUGCGAGGCUCGAAGAGCAGUUCAGAAGAAUAUGAUAUUUAUUGAUCAAAAUAGAGUUAUGCUUAAAUAUCUCUUUCCUUUGAAUGAAAUUGUGGUAGAUUUUUAUGACUCUCUGAAAUCCCUAUCUUCUGGAUAUGCUAGUUUUGAUUACGAAGAUGCAGGCUACCAGACUGCAGAACUUGUAAAAAUGGAUAUUCUACUGAAUGGAAAUACUGUAGAGGAGCUAGUAACUGUUGUACACAAAGACAAAGCUCAUUCAAUUGGCAAAGCCAUAUGUGAACGGCUGAAGGAUUCUCUUCCUAGGCAACUGUUUGAGAUAGCAAUUCAAGCUGCUAUUGGAAGUAAAAUCAUUGCAAGAGAAACUGUGAAAGCCUAUAGGAAAAACGUUUUGGCAAAAUGUUAUGGUGGUGAUAUUACCCGAAAAAUGAAGCUUUUGAAGAGACAAGCAGAAGGGAAAAAAAAGCUGAGGAAAAUUGGCAACGUUGAAGUUCCAAAAGAUGCUUUUAUAAAAGUUCUGAAAACACAAUCUUCUAAAUAAUUGGUGGGAAAACAAAGAAUUUUCAUUGCAAUUUGUAAUAUGCUGACAACAGAAAGAAAAUUAUAAAAUUUGCUUGUUACUUUCAGGGUAUUCAGGUUCAAAUAACCUAGUAGUCUUUCGUUGAAAGGGAGUAGUUAGUGGGUAGGCAAGAGCUUUUUAUUUUGAAGCCAUGUUGCCUGUUCUCAAAUAUCUGUUCCAACCACUCACUAGUAAGGUGACCGUGGCCAAAUUAACCUUUGUUUCCUCUUCAGUAAAAUCGAGAUUAUAUUACUACCUACAUAAGUUGUUGUUGUGAAGAUUAAAUGAGGUAAUACGUUAAAUAUUCAGAGGUGCAAGACACAUAGCACUCAAUUGUAACUACAGUUAAGUCCUUAAAUGCCAUCGAAAGGUUCUUAGAAACUGACUUUAAGCAAAAUGACACGUAGCACAAUGUUCUUGAAUGAUGUCAUUUCCUUAAGUGGUUUGUAACAUCAAUGAGGAAAAAAAAUUGGUUUAUGCGUCAUUUCAUUUUUAUUUAUUUUUUGAGACAGAGUCUUGCCCUGUCGCCCAGGCUGGAGUGCAAUGGCGCAAUCUCGACUCACUGCAACCUCUGCCUCCCGGGUUCAAGAGAUUCUCCUGCCUCAGCCUCCAUUACAGGCGUGCACCACCAUGCUCGGCUAAUUUUUUGUAUCUUUAGUAGAGUCGGGGUUUCACCAUGUUGGCCAGGCUGGUCUUGAACUCCUGACCUCGUGAUCCACCCGCCGUGGCCUCCCAAAGUGCUGAUUACAGGUGUGAGCCACCAUGCCCAGCCAUGUCAUUUCAUUUAAAGUCACAAUUUCCAUGAAUCUCAACAAGUGAGGACCUGCUAUAUUUUGUUGCAUGCAGUUUUUCUUUACUGACACUAAAAGGCCCCAUACUUAAGAUUCCAUCUACUUUAAGUUUAAAGGAUUUUCAGAAUCACCUUAAGUGUCAAAUUUGUUAGCAGGAUUAAUUGAUAUGAAUUCACUUAUUAAACAGUAAACUCAAAUAACAUAGACAUCAAAUAACAGACAUCUGCUCUAGUUCAUGAUAAAAUGUUUAUAGAUUUUAUCAGGUGGUUAGUUUGAAACUAAAUGGUUUACAUCUAAAUUAAGGGCAGGAGCUGUCUUUCAGACAUUCAAAACGCAUUUGUGUAAAAUGACAGGUGUUUGGUAUUACCAGGAACUCAUAAUGACAUUCUAAUAAUUAUUGUCUAAAUUUCAUAAUCGAAGCGAUUUUAGAGUAGUUAACUUGAGAUUUCACAGCCAGUAAAUGGCUGUAUUUCUCCAGAGCUCUCAGCUCCCAUGUUUAUUCAGCCAACGAACAAACCAGACAGCAGACUGUAUUAGAGCAAGACAACAUCAUUUAGCCAUUGAUUUUUAUCUUCUACCUUGAAUGAAUUGAAUGAAGAAAAUGUCUUUUAGGGAUAAACACUAUCAAGGAUGAAUUUUAUACUAAGGUUAUAUGAAAGAAAAAGAAAUCUCAAAACCACUAAGCCAAAGGGAAGUCAAGCUGGGAACUGAUUGAGGCAAACCUGCCUCCCAUUGUAUUCCUAAAUAAGACAGCCACAAAGAUAAAAUUUGCCCACAAGGGAAUUCCUUAUGGACUAAGAACUCAUAGUCUUCCUUCUGCUCACAUGAAACAAAUGCAUAAAUGAUUGCUUUCUCUGUUUCAUGUUUCACUAAGCCAGAUUAAGGUAUAACUGACUAUUCCUCUACCCUCCUCUCACAUGUAAAUUGUAUAUUCAGUGAAAGGCUAAUCAGAAACUCAAAAAAAUGCAACCCUUUCUCUCUUACCUGCCUAUGCUUGAAGCCCCCGCCCCUCUUCAAGUUGUCCUGCCUUUCAAGACCAAUGUACACCUUACACAUACUGAUUGAUGUCUCAUGUCUCUCUAAAAUGUGUAAAACCAAGCUGUGCCCCAACCACCUUGGGCACAUGUGGUGAGGACCUCCUGAGGCUGUGUCAUGCGCACACCUUAACCCUGGGAAAAUAAACUUUCUAAACUGACUUGAGAGCUGUCUCAGAUAUUUUGAGCUCACAGUUAUUGUGAAAUCAUUUUAAUUAUAAAUUAAGUGGAGAUUUACUU